AGCAGCCGCAGUAAUUUCAGCUCCAAUAGUGUAUAUUAAAGUUGUUGCAGUUAAAAAGCUCGUAGUUGAAUUUUGGGAUCAGUUGGUCGGUCGUGUCUUGGUACGUACUGGUCAAAUUGAUUCCUACCUUCUGACGAAUCACAAUGUCAUUAAUUUGGUGUCGCAGGAAAUCAGGACUGUUACUUUGAAAAAUUAGAGUGUUUAAAGCAGGCUCGUGCUUGAAUACAUUAGCAUAGAAUAAUGAAAUAAGACGUUUGAUUCUAUUUUGUUAGUUUCUAGGAUCGAUAUAAUGAUUAAUAGGAAUAGUUGGAGGUAUUAGUAUUCAAUUGUCAGAAGUGAAAUUCUUG
rnacentral:misc_RNA from 1 species